CACAAGCGGUGGAGCAUGUGGUUUAAUUCGAUGAUACGCGAGGAACCUUACCUGGGCUCAAAUGUAUGUUGACGUAUUCUGAAAGGGAUACUUCUUCGGACAAUAUACAAGGUGCUGCAUGGUUGUCGUCAGCUCGUGCCGUGAGGUGUCGGGUUAAGUCCCAUAACGAGCGCAACCCCUAUCAUUAGUUGCCAUCAGGUCAAGCUGGGGACUCUAAUGAAACUGCCUACGCAAGUAGUGAGGAAGGCGGGGAUGACGUCAAAUCAGCACGGCCCUUACGUCCAGGGCUACACACGUGCUACAAUGGCCGAUACAGAGGGCAGCUACCUGGUGACAGGAUGCAAAUCUCCAAAGUCGGUCUCAGUUCGGAUCGGAGUCUGCAACCCGACUCCGUGAAGUUGGAUUCGCUAGUAAUCGCGCAUCAGCCAUGGCGCGGUGAAUACGUUCCCGGGCCUU
rnacentral:rRNA from 1 species